rnacentral:sRNA from 4 species
AGCCGUUACAACUUUUCGGAUGCACUCCCCGGCUUCCGAGCGGCGUUGUUCCCCUCUGAAGGUAGAUCCUUCACACCUUAGGGCCUCCGGUAGGAUGGCCCUUUUUU